CCUACGAGCAUGUCCACAUUAGAAUCAUCUACAACUGAAAGUGGUACAACAGUGAAAACGACAUUAUUCACAACAGAUAUGUCUCCAUCUUCACUGUUUUCUACAACAAAAGGACAAACUGCAUCAGAAUUCACUUCAUCAACAACAGAAAUAUAUUCAUCCAGUGCAGAGAAAACAACAAGCCAACAGGCACAAACCACUCAGAUUAGUUCUAUCACAGAAACUGGACAUACUACAGCACAAUCAAUAUUCACAACAGUUAUGACCCCAACAAGCAUGUCCACAUUAAAAUCGACUACAUCUGAAAGUGGUUCAACACUGGAAACUAUAAUAUCUAGAAGUACUUCUUUAGCUCCAUCUUCACUAUUUACUACAACAGAAGGACAAACUUCCCCUAAUCCUCAAACAAUAUCCCCAGCUGUUACAGCCCAAACAUUUAGCAUUUUUACAUCAUCCCAGUCGAGCCCUUCUGCUUCAACUAGUACCCAGAAAACUUCAUCAACAUCAACAGAACCUCAUUCAUCUUCAACAACUCUCAACUCAGUUUCAACAACUCAAAACUGUCUGGAGAAUUGUCAGUGUCAUGGGUCCCCAUGCAUCUUCAAUGUAACAUCUGGGAAAUGUCAGUGUCAAUGCAGUUCUUUCACUUUUGGAGAGUAUUGCAAUUUUGCAUAUGACUUAUCCACAGUUUUUUGGUCUGAAAGCACACCCACAAGGAAUGCAAGCAUCUCUCUCAGAAUUAUGAUGGACUAUCUUACCGAGUAUGAAAAUAUGAACUCACCAGAAUCAAAAAAACUCAUUUCCACCUUAAAACGUGAGCUUUCAAUCCUUUGUAAAAGAGCAGAUGCACAAAAUUUCAAAGAUGUGCACAUACGUAGGCUAAUGCGAGGAAGUGUCAUUGCUGAAAGUAUUGCAGUAUAUAACUAUCCCAACAACAACUCGCAAAUAAUGUUUCUAAAUAACGAUUUGGGACCCACCCUGGAAAAAAUCUUUAACGACUCAGAUUCGUUUAAAAAUCUCAGUAUAGCUCUUGGUAAUGUUUCCAUCCAAGAUGCCCAAAUUACCAUGGAGCCAGUUAAAAUAUCAAAAAUUUUAGAUCUGCAGCCAUUUGUGCAAUGCACAUUGAAUUUUGCAAACUUAACAGAGGAGAUUGAAGAUGGAGCAUGGGUAUGUGUGGGAUCAUGCAAAAAAAAUCCCAACUUUUGCAAUCAAAGAGGUAGAUGCCUAAAUGAAAUAAAUGGACCACAGUGCAUGUGUUACAGUUCUCCCUUUGAGGAGUACUAUGGCGCUCAGUGUGAGCUUUACAGGAGAGGGACCGGUUUCUACGCUGUUCUCUUCGGCUGUUUUGCAGCUUUUGCUCUACUUAUCAUCGUCUUGGCUGUGAUGAUUGUGGUGCUCUACAGAGCCAAGAGAACAUCAAGCAAAAGGAGGUUAUCACUUUUUGACGAGGACUUCUAUGAUUUUACAUCAAGAGGAUCCUUAGACAGAGGUUAUGGGCAUCAAAAUUUUUCAGCCUCAGAAUAUUCACCACCUGGGUCUUUCAGCUCAUUACAUGAAAAUACACCUGUACGAUAAAGGCCAGAGCAACUGAAGUGGUGGAUGUCUGAUGAACAGAAAUCACAGAUAUUAUUUAAAAUAUUUUUCAAAGAAUUCAGACAUUAUAAUUAUGUAAUUGUACAUGCAUUUACUGGGUUAGUGUCAGAUUAUUUCGAGUAUUUCAAGUAAAAUGAAUGUCAAGAAUCUCAGUUCAUAAUAUUUACAUUGCCAAGAACAAUGUAUAAAACAGGCUACCUCUGUAAAACUCAGCAUAUGCAUAAAUCGAUAAUAAACAAAUUAAAUAGAUGGGGGG
ensembl:lncRNA